rnacentral:misc_RNA from 1 species
UGGUUCUCGCAACGAUGAAGAACGCAGCGAAUUGCGAUAAGUAUUGUGAAUUGCAGAUUUUCGUGAAUCAUCGAAUCUUUGAACGCACAUUGCGCCCUGUGGUAUUCCACAGGGCAUGCCUGUUUGAGCGUCAUUUCUCCUUCAAGCUUUCUAGUUUGGACUUGGGCGUGGGGGUACAUACCCUGCCCGAAAUAGUGGGUGGGAGCAGCUUGCUGUAGUUGACGCCAAUGAGUUAGGUUCUGCCAGUUCGUUGGAAAGACUAGGGGAGGUUGUUGCCGAUAACAAGCCCAUUAACAAAAAAUUGACCUCAAAUCAGGUAGGACUACCCGCUGA